rnacentral:rRNA from 1 species
GACGAACGCUGGCGGCGUGCUUAACACAUGCAAGUCGAACGGAAAGGCCCCUUUGGGGGUCCUCGGGUGGCGAACGGGUGAGUAACACGUGAGUAACCUGCCCUUGACUUCGGGAUAACUUCAGGAAACUGGGGCUAAUACCGGAUAGGAAUCCUUGCUGCAUGGUGGGGGUUGGAAAGCUUCGGCGGUUUUGGAUGGACUCGCGGCUUAUCAGCUUGUUGGUGGGGUAGUGGCUUACCAAGGCUUUGACGGGUAGCCGGCCUGAGAGGGCGACCGGCCACAUUGGGACUGAGAUACGGCCCAGACUCCUACGGGAGGCAGCAGGGGGGAAUAUUGCACAAUGGGCGGAAGCCUGAUGCAGCAACGCCGCGUGCGGGAUGACGGCCUUCGGGUUGUAAACCGCUUUCAGCAGGGGCGAAGCUUGUGGUGACGGUACCUGCAGAAGAAGCACCGGCUAACUACGUG